AAGUCGUAACAAGGUUUCCGUAGGUGAACCUGCGGAAGGAUCAUUAUCGUGGGGAUUCGUCCCUAUCGAGAUAGCACCCUUUGUCUAUGAGUACCUUCUGUUUCCUCGGCGGGCUUGCCCGCCAACGGGGACCACAUAAACCCUUUGUAAUAGCAGUAACUUCUGAUAACAAACAAAUAUUAAAA
rnacentral:misc_RNA from 1 species